CGGGGGGGCGAAGCGUUGUUCGGAAUUACUGGGCGUAAAGGGCUCGUAGGCGGCCAACUAAGUCAUACGUGAAAUCCCUCGGCUUAACCGGGGAACUGCGUCUGAUACUGGAUGGCUUGAGUUCGGGAGAGGGAUGCGGAAUUCCAGGUGUAGCGGUGAGAUGCGUAGAUAUCUGGAGGAACACCGGUGGCGAAGGCGGCAUCCUGGACCGAUACUGACGCUGAGGAGCGAAAGCCAGGGGAGCAAACGGGAUUAGAUACCCCGGUAGUCCUGGCCCUAAACGAUGAAUGCUUGGUGUGGCGGGUAUCGAUCCCUGCCGUGCCGAAGCUAACGCAUUAAGCAUUCCGCCUGGGGAGUACGGUCGCAAGGCUG
rnacentral:rRNA from 1 species